rnacentral:rRNA from 1 species
GAUGAACGCUGGCGGCGUGCCUAAUACAUGCAAGUCGAGCGAACGGACGAGAAGCUUGCUUCUCUGAUGUUAGCGGCGGUAGGGUGAGUAACCCGUGGAUAACCUACCUAUAAGACUGGGAUAACUUCGGGAAACCGUAGCUAAUACCGGAUAAUAUUUUGAACCGCAUGGUUCAAAAGUGAAAGACGGUCUUGCUGUCACUUAUAGAUGGAUCCGCGCUGCAUUAGCUAGUUGGUAAGGUAACGGCUUACCAAGGCAACGAUGCAUAGCCGACCUGAGAGGGUGAUCGGCCACACUGGAACUGAGACACGGUCCAGACUCCUACGGGAGGCAGCAGUAGGGAAUCUUCCGCAAUGGGCGAAAGCCUGACGGAGCAACGCCGCGUGAGUGAUGAAGGUCUUCGGAUCGUAAAACUCUGUUAUUAGGGGAGAACAUAUGUGUAAGUAACUGUGCACAUCUUGACGGUACCUAAUCAGAAAGCCACGGCUAACUACGUG